rnacentral:rRNA from 1 species
UACGAAGGGUGCAAGCGUUACUCGGAAUUACUGGGCGUAAAGCGUGCGUAGGUGGUGAGUUAAGUCUGUCGUGAAAGCCCCGGGCUCAACCUGGGAAUGGCGAUGGAUACUGGCUCGCUAGAGUGCGGUAGAGGAGAGUGGAAUUCCCGGUGUAGCAGUGAAAUGCGUAGAGAUCGGGAGGAACAUCUGUGGCGAAGGCGACUACCUGGACCAGCACUGACACUGAGGCACGAAAGCGUGGGGAGCAAACAGG